GGAGCAAUACUCAAGUUGGUGAAGAGGCUUCCCUGCUAAGGAAGUAGAUCGGGUUAAACUGGUGCGAGAGUUCGAGUCUCUCUUGCUCCGCCA
rnacentral:tRNA from 1 species